rnacentral:lncRNA from 1 species
GGAUAUUGUUAUACUUGCUGAGCUUGUCAGCUCACUCUUGCGAUACUCUAUGUUCUUUCCAGUGAAAGCAGAGAAGGUUGGUAACGAUGAUACUCAGGCUAGUGGUAAGGCCAGGAUUCCAGGCUGAGAGAUGGAGAGAGCUAUCGGCAGCGCUUGACUUUUGAUAUAUGUAUUAGUUUGAAUAAUGAGACACAAAUGACGUGUAAGCUUGUAAGAUUUAAGUUUUUAUUUUGGGAUUUGGGUUUG